UAUUUGAGAGAACUGAAAGAAAAAAAACAUUGCCUUUCCGUAAAAAAAACUCCUUCAUCACACGCAUAUUGUCGAGUAAGCCUCCAUGGAGAACGGACAAAGAGAGCGAGGGUGAGUUCAUGGAUCUCGUCUGUUUUAUCACUUAUGUGAAGCUUUCACCAUGGUUUGCUGUAGAAUUGUUGAUCGGUUCGAGCUGCCACACAAUGAAUCGCUUUGAGCUGCUUUCUUAUCAAAAGCUCAUUGAUAAGAACCAGAAAAUCUGAAUCGGAAGAAAAUGAUAGAAUUCUUGGUGUACUUUUCGAGCCAUUCAUAGCUCACUUGACACAGAAAGUUCUUAAGCUUUUUGCUGUAUCUACUCCACUCACAUUACUCGGAACUGACCCUGCUUUUGCGUUUUUUCAAAUUCCAUAGUCAUUGGUUACUUCUCUUGGAGACUUUGGAGACGACAUAACUUAGGUUUUGCUUCGGCCUUUUUGCUUAUCUUUUUCUCUGAACCUGGAGACAAGACUUUCUUCAGUGCGACUCUUUUAGCAGCAAGGAAUAACGCUGCUACUGUUUUCGCUGGGACUUUUGGUACUCUUGGGUAUGCUUUCUCUCUCAAACAGAGGCGCGCGUUACGUCAUGUCUGAAACAAAUAAUUGGUGGUGAUUUUGCAUGAUAAUGACGAUAACAUGGCGGUGGAUGUAUCCACAGUAAUGCCAGGAUAGAAGCCAUCAUUGAACAUACAUUUGCUGGUUCGUUUGUCCUGACGAGGAGAAGGCAUUCACUGGCCUCUCCAUCUCCAAAAUAUUGCGGCUAGUAACUAUUGUUUUCUUUUGACUCCUUUAGUAGAUUAAAAUUUGACAUAUGUACAUGUUGUACAUUAGUGUCCAUGUUCGUAAUA